rnacentral:rRNA from 1 species
AAUUUGAUCUGGCGCGCCUUCGCUGUCUUGUGUACCUGUAGUCGAGGAUGCUUUUCCGUAGUUGGUCAACCUUACUGCCUAGGGGCUGGUCCGCCGUGAGGGGUGGGAGUCCCGCUCGAGCUGGGAUGGCAUGCCAUUUGUGGGCUCCCCCCUAAGAAUGAUGUUUUUUGAAUGCUGGCUGAAUAAGGGUGGUGCUGUUCAUUCAAAGCUUAAUACUAGUGCGAGUGCCCAAUAGCGGACAAUUACCGUAAGGAAAAACUGAAAAGCACUUCGAUUGGGGAGCUAAAAGGGCAUGAAAUCCGUCAAACGUGAGCGUGAUGACUUGGGCUAGCCGAAGGGUACUGAGGGUGCUUCCCGUUGAAAGUACUUACUAGAGCACAGUGGGUAUGCAAUGUCUAGGGACGCUGCAGUGAUCACUGUGUGGGACUCCCUUACCCAAUGGGUUUUGUCAGACUAUAUGGAAGGCAUUAACGUGAGCCCUUAGCCGCCCGCCCCUCAACCUGGGUAAAACCACCAUUGGGGGGACCGUGCUAGAGCCUAUGAUUCACACCCGUCUUGAAACACGGACCAAGGAGUCUAACGUACAUGCAAGUCGAACGGCGUUAAACCGAACGGCGACCCUAAUGCAAAAAGCAUGAGGGAAACCGCAAUGCUCUCGACUAGCCUUGAUCUUCGGGUCUCGGAUUGGAGUUUGAGCAUGUCAUGUUAGGUCCCGAAAAACGACGAGCUAUGCUUGGGGUAGGUUGAAGCCAGGAGAAAUCUUGGUGGAAGAUCGCAGCGGUUCUGAC